rnacentral:tRNA from 1 species
GCCCAGGUGGCGGAAUUGGUAGACGCACUAGUUUCAGGUACUAGCGAGUAAUAUCGUGGGGGUUCGAGUCCCUUCCUGGGCACCA